UACGUAGGGACCAAGCGUUGUUCGGAUUUACUGGGCGUAAAGGGCGCGUAGGCGGCGUGGUAAGUCACUUGUGAAAUCUCUGAGCUUAACUCAGAACGGUCAAGUGAUACUGCUGUGCUAGAGUGCGGAAGGGGCAAUCGGAAUUCUUGGUGUAGCGGUGAAAUGCGCAGAUAUCAGGAGGAACACCGAUGGCGAAGGCAGGUCACUGGGCCGCAACUGACGCUGAGGAGCGAAAGCAUGGGGAGCGAACAGG
rnacentral:rRNA from 1 species